rnacentral:rRNA from 1 species
CCUUCGGGCGCUGACGAGUGGCGGGACGGGUGAGUAACGCGUAGAUCUGCCUUAUGUGGGGGACAACGUGGGGAAACCCACGCUAAUACCGCAUACGCCCUACGGGGGAAAGGAGGGGAUCUUCGGACCUUUCGCUAUGAGAUGAGCCUGCGUUAGAUUAGCUAGUUGGUAGGGUAAAGGCCUACCAAGGCGACGAUCUAUAGCUGGUCUGAGAGGACGAUCAGCCACACUGGGACUGAGACACGGCCCAGACUCCUACGGGAGGCAGCAGUGGGGAAUAUUGGACAAUGGGCGAAAGCCUGAUCCAGCAAUACCGCGUGUGUGAAGAAGGCCUUAGGGUUGUAAAGCACUUUCAAUUGGGAGGAAAACCUGUCGGUCAAUACCCGGCAGCUUGACAUUACCUUUAGAAGAAGCACCGGCUAACUCCGUGCCAGCAGCCGCGGUAAUACGGAGGGUGCGAGCGUUAAUCGGAAUUACUGGGCGUAAAGCGUGCGUAGGCGGUUCGUUAAGUCAGAUGUGAAAGCCCUGGGCUCAACCUGGGAACUGCAUUUGAAACUGGCGGACUAGAGUUUAGUAGAGGGGAGUGGAAUUUCAGGUGUAGCGGUGAAAUGCGUAGAUAUCUGAAGGAACACCAGUGGCGAAGGCGACUCCCUGGACUAGAACUGACGCUGAGGUACGAAAGCGUGGGUAGCAAACAGGAUUAGAUACCCUGGUAGUCCACGCCGUAAACGAUGUCGACUAGCCGUUGGUCCUAUUUACAGGAUUAGUGGCGCAGCUAACGCAUUAAGUCGACCGCCUGGGGAGUACGGCCGCAAGGUUAAAACUCAAAUGAAUUGACGGGGGCCCGCACAAGCGGUGGAGCAUGUGGUUUAAUUCGAUGCAACGCGAAGAACCUUACCUACCCUUGACAUCCAGAGAAUC